rnacentral:rRNA from 1 species
UACGAAGGGGGCUAGCGUUGCUCGGAAUCACUGGGCGUAAAGGGUGCGUAGGCGGGUCUUUUAAGUCAGGGGUGAAAUCCUGGAGCUCAACUCCAGAACUGCCUUUGAUACUGAAGAUCUUGAGUUCGGGAGAGGUGAGUGGAACUGCGAGUGUAGAGGUGAAAUCGUUAGAUAUUCGCAAGAACACCAGUGGCGAAGGCGGCUCACUGGCCCGAUACUGACGCUGAGGCACGAAAGCGUGGGGAGCAAACAGG